GUUCUAAGCUGCCCUUUGGGAGAUAAAAACAACCCAAGCCCCAGGCCCUGGGCAGAGGCAAGCAUUGGGGCUGUAGAACAGGACUGCCAUCACCGGUUCCAGGAAGGAGGGCUUGCUUGGAAUAAAGACAUGCAAGAUGGAAGCCCAGAAGCCUGAGGAGCAGGCAACGUAGCCUUUAUGUCCAGCUGAAUGGCCAGCGGGCUCCUCGGAGCCGCCCAUCAGAGCUGAAGAUCGUCUGGGGCUGGAGC